AUUGAACGCUGGCGGCAGGCUUAACACAUGCAAGUCGAGCGGAGAGAGGUAGCUUGCUACCGAUCUUAGCGGCGGCCCGGUGCGUGAUGCUUAGGAAUCUGCCUAUUAGUGGGGGACAACAUUUCGAAAGGAGUGCUAAUACCGCAUACGUCCUACGGGAGAAAGCUGGGGCUCUUCGGACCUUGCCAUAAUAGAUGAGCCUAAGUCGGAUUAGCUGGUUGGUGGGGUAAAGGCCUACCAAGGCGACGAUCUGGAGCGGCUCUGAGAGGAUGAUCCGCCACACUGGGACUGAGACACGGCCCAGACUCCAACGGGAGUCAGCAGUGGGGCAUAUUGGACAAUGGGCGCAAGCCUGAUCCAGCCAUGCCGCGUGUGUGAAGAAGGCAUUAUGGUUGUAAAGCACUUUAAGCGAGGAGGAGGCUACUUUAGUUAAUACCUAGAGAGAGUAGACGUUACGCGCAGAAUAAGCACCGGCUAACUCUGUGCCAGCCGCCGCCGUAAAAC
rnacentral:rRNA from 1 species